UCGCACGCCACCUCCAUUUUACCCUUUCACCUUAUCGCUUUUUACCCUAUCGCGCACUGCCUCCAUUUUUCUCUUACCCAAACCCUAACCGAUCUCCUUCACCGUCCGUCGUUCUCCUUCACCGUUCGUCCAUCCAUCGAUCUCCUUCACCGUCCGUCCAUCCAUCGAUUUCCUUUAUCGUCUAUUUGUCCGUCGAUCUCCAUCGAUCUUCAUCGCGUUUACAUCCAUCAAGUUUUUUGUCGGUCUCCGUCGAUCUCCAUCGCGUCAGUGUUCAGAUCUGUAGCUAUGGGUACAAAUCUGCUAGUGGGUCAUAGGUCGUCGAUCGUCUUUGCCAAUGCUUAAAUCUCUUAACCUUGAACUUGAUGUUGAUGCACCUUUCUUUAUGCAGCUAAAAGAUGGCCAAAAAUCAAUUGAAGUAAAGUAUGCUUUGGGUAAAUACAAUAGGUUUGCAAAUAUUGAAAUCUUUGAACAGACAAGAGGAAGAAAUGGCUGACAGUGUUAUUGCUAUAUGUAUUUCAAGUGUGCCAUUUCAGCCUUACAUUUCUUUAGCUGCAAUAAUCUCAGGGUUGAGUUAUGAAGGUCUUCAAGGUCUUCUCGGCUUGACACAUACUGCAGGAACGGUUCCUGAUGUUCUUCCCCCACCAAGAUUAACUCUUUUAUCUUCAUUUGUGCUUCCAUAUAAACCCGAGUUCAUUGGGAUUUUGGAGCCAUACAUGCAAGAUGGCCAUUUGAAAGGAUGGAAGCAGUAAUCUUUUAUUGAGAUGAUUCUCUAGGAAGAUCAAAAGAUGGCUACAUGGUUGACGAAUACAAUGUCCAACUCGCUGAAAGGGAGGCCUGUUUAGGUACCAUAAAUAUAAAAUAUACAUUAGUUUCUAUCUUUGGGAAUUUCCUUACUGCUUUUUUCUUUUGGCAGAGUCGUAUAUUUCAAGGCAAAGAGCCACCCCAAUUUAUUGCCCUCUUUCAACCUUUCGUGGGGUGCUCAAGGUGGUAGUCUUAUAAAGUUUCUUUCUUAACUCAUCUCUUUUGGUUAGAAUCACGUUGUAGUUUCUUUUACAAGAUUCUGAUGUGGAGCUGAGAGGGUCUUGAGAGACACAGAUAACCAUCAUUUUUCUUAAUGAAUUCUGGUGUAGGGUGGCUUGAGCUCUAGUUACAAGAAACUCAUAGCAGAUAAAGCUUUGGCUAAUAAAACUUAUACGGAAGAUUUUGUUGCCCUUGUAAAAUCAUAAUCUUUGUAUUAUUUGUAAUUUGUAUUUUCAAGGCUUGAAUUA